CACUCUCUGUGUCUUAAAAAUAAAUAAAUGUUAAUUUUUUUUUUUUAAAAAGCAAUCAAUCAAAAACUAAUCCAUAAUCUACACAAAUGCUACAAUUAGCAGACAAGGACAUUUAAAAAAGUUAUUAUAACAGUAUUUCAUAUAUGGAAAAAACCCCAUGCCUCUACUUAACUCAAUGAAUUGUGCAACAACUUCAAGUGGCCUAAUAUAUGUAUACUUAGAGUCCACGAAGGAGAGGAGAUAUAAAAAAAAUUUGAAAAACUAAUAGCCCCUACAUUUCCAAAUAAGUAAACCCUAUAAACUCACAAAUCCAGGAAGGUCAAUGAAAUCUGAGCACAACAUGGAUUAAACUACAUGUUUAGUUUAAUCCAUUAAACACGGAUAAAACUACACCACGGCACAUGAUAAUCAAACUGGUCAAAGCCAGUGAUAAAGAGCAAAUCUUAAAAGCAGCCAAAGGAACAAAACCACACAUGACACACAGAGCAACAAAGAUAUAACAAUGACAACAUAUUUCUUGUUGGAAAUAAUGUAAGCCAGAACUCGGUGGGGCAACAUCUUUCAGGCAGUGAAAAGGAGAGGGGGACCAAAUAGCCAUCAAGCUAGAAUUCUAUACCCAAAUCUUUCAAAAAUAAAAGCAAGAUAGACUAUCUGAGACAUACAAGAGCUGGAAGAAUUCAUCAUUAGCAGGCUUACACUGUAGAAAUGCCAAAGGAAGUAUUUUUUUAAAUGUUUAUUUGAGAGACAGAGAGAGAGGGCACGUGCAGUAUGCGUGUGCAAGGGGGAAAGAGCACUGAGGAGACAGAGAAUCCCAAGCAAAGCCCAACGCGGGACUUGAGCUCACAAACUGUGAGAUUAUGACCUGAGCCAAAAUCAAGAGUUGGAUGCUUAACUGACUGAGCCACCCAGGUGCCCCUAAAGAAAGUAUUUUUAAGCAGAAGGAAAAGGAUAGCAGACGGAAAUGUGGAUCCACACAAAGGAAUGAAGAACAUUAGAACUGUGCCGCCUUCUCUUCAUGGAGCUAUUGUGCCUGAGCCAAGGGGAGAAUGAGAACUGACCCGACAGGUUACAUCUGCUGGACCGACAGCAAUUGUUUUUCCACAGACUGCGAUACGAACGAACGGUGGACGCUGCACUAGACAUCAUCUCCAUUUCCGUUCAAUUCCCUCAUUUUACAGAUAAAACGUGUGCUGACUCAGUC